GAUGAACGCUAGCGGGAGGCUUAACACAUGCAAGUCGAGGGGUAUAGUAGCAAUACUAGAGACCGGCGCACGGGUGAGUAACGCGUAUGCAACCUGCCCUUUACAGGAGGAUAGCCCGCUGAAAGGCGGAUUAAUACUGCAUAAUAUGGUACAAUCGCAUGGUUGAACCAUAAAAGCUGAGGCGGUAAAGGAUGGGCAUGCGUGACAUUAGCUAGUUGGCGGGGUAACGGCCCACCAAGGCUACGAUGUCUAGGGGUUCUGAGAGGAAGGUCCCCCACACUGGUACUGAGACACAGACCAGACUCCUACGGGAGGCAGCAGUGAGGAAUAUUGGUAAAUGGGCGCGAGCCUGAACCAGCCAUCCCGCGUGCAGGAAGACGGCCCUAUGGGUUGUAAACUGCUUUUGUGCAGGAAGAACGUACAGAUCGUGAUUUGUAGUGACGGUACUGCAUGAAUAAGCACCGGCUAACUCCGUGCCAGCAGCCGCCGUAACAC
rnacentral:rRNA from 1 species